rnacentral:lncRNA from 1 species
GUAAGUCAACCCGUUUAAGCCACUAACCUGUGGUGGGUCGAGUCAAGUUCGAAUUUUUCUGAGCUAAUAAUUGAGCCGGAUUGAAUUGGCUCACUAAGUAACCAACCCGUGAUGGGCCGAAGUGAGUCCGACCGGGUGACCCAUUUUGACAGAAGUAGCUAUUUUCAUCAAAUCAUUAUUUGUCAUAGGUUUAGGGAGUUACAUUGAUGGAAAGUGUC